rnacentral:miRNA from 1 species
UAGGGUCAGAUCGCUACUUAG